GCGGGGGUGCCGGAGCGGUCAAACGGACUGCGCUAAGGACGCAGUGACCUUGUGUCUGCGAAGGUUCGAAUCCUUCCUCCCGCA
rnacentral:tRNA from 1 species